rnacentral:rRNA from 1 species
GACGAACGCUGGCGGCGUGCUUAACACAUGCAAGUCGAACGGAAAGGCCCUGCUUUUGUGGGGUGCUCGAGUGGCGAACGGGUGAGUAACACGUGAGUAACCUGCCCUUGACUUUGGGAUAACUUCAGGAAACUGGGGCUAAUACCGGAUAGGAGCUCCUGCUGCAUGGUGGGGGUUGGAAAGUUUCGGCGGUUGGGGAUGGACUGGGGGCUUAUCAGCUUGUUGGUGGGGUAGUGGCUUACCAAGGCUUUGACGGGUAGCCGGCCUGAGAGGGUGACCGGCCACAUUGGGACUGAGAUACGGCCCAGACUCCUACGGGAGGCAGCAGUGGGGAAUAUUGCACAAUGGGCGGAAGCCUGAGGCAGCGGCGCCGCGUGCGGGAUGACGGCCUUCGCGUUGUAAACCGCUUUCGCCUGUGACGAAGCGUGAGUGACGGUAAUGGGUAAAGAAGCACCGGCUAACUACGUG